AUGGUCAGACCACUUUGGGGAAGCUCUAGGAGGCGAGGGGCGUGGCUGGCCACUGUGAUGAAGAGUGGGUGCUUCCCUGGGGCCCGAGGGGUGCCAGGGAGGUGGAUGGAGACCACUUGGUCACCAGCCAGGGGUGGGCCUGCGGGAGUGGAGAAGGGGAGUCCAGGGCAGCCGGCUCCUGUGUCCAGAACGUCACCCUGGGCAGCCAGACUUGAGAAAGUCUGCCUCCAGAGGCUGCCCUGUCGGGCACGCCCCGCUUCCCCCAGGUGGCCCUCCCUUGCUCCCCACUGCCGCUUCCUGGAGGCCCUGGCACAGGCCAGCCCUGCGGAACCCACAGAGCCCAGGGGCACGGGGAGACGCCCCCUCCAGAAGUUCCCUUUUCAGAGAGAAGAAGCCUUCCCGAGGGGCCCCAGAGCUGCCCGUGGUUGGGGAGUGCUCACAGCCAGGGGGCCCUCCAGCCCGCCCAAAGCUGAGUCUGAACACGCCUGGGGACGGGCCAGGCUGCAGCGUAGACACCACAGCUCUUGCGCCUGCCUGGCGCUGAGGUGCGUCCCAGCUGGUGCCCUGGCCUCUGGGGCGGGGGGUGGGGGUGGUCCCACCAGAGGGGCCUCAUGCCUGGAGCUCAGGAGACGCUGGACAGCAGCUGUCCUGGGAGCCCCAUGGUGCAGGGACUCCCCUGAGAAGGGCCAGAGGGGCCAGAGCCUGCUGCUCAUGGCUGGGGUGUCCCGGAAGUGGGGACUCCCCCAGAAGAAGCAGUUAGAGGGCCUUAGGGAGACACUGGGGGGCCAAAGGUGGGCUGGGGGGCUGGGAGAUGGCCGUGAAGGGGCAAGUGGGGCAGUUAUUAGAGACUGCAUGGCCCUGCCUCCCUCACCCUCCUCCACACUGGAGGACAGGCCCUGCUGGAACAUGCCGGGCCCUGCUGGGUGUGCCUGGGGUUCGGGGCACAGCGGGCUGGCGUGGGGGCAGAUAAUGCUCCUGCCGAGGGCACUUAGCAGAAACAGACCUCAGGACCCCGCGGGGAAAUGUGGUGGGGUGAAGGAUCUUCCGGAAAAGCAAACUGCCUCCAGACAGCCGUGGUUUGAGCCUGCGUAUCUGGACUGA
rnacentral:lncRNA from 1 species